rnacentral:rRNA from 1 species
AACAAACGCUGGCGGCGUGCCUAAUACAUGCAAGUCGAACGGGGAAAGCUUUCGGGUGAGUACUAGUGGCGCACGGGUGAGUAACGCGUGGAUAAUCUGCCUUAGAGUGGGGGAUAACUAGUCGAAAGAUUAGCUAAUACCGCAUAAGACCACAAGAACUGCGGUUCAAGGGGUCAAAGGUUUUUCGCUCUAAGAUGAGUCCGCGUAAGAUUAGCUAGUUGGUAGGGUAACGGCCUACCAAGGCGACGAUCCUUAACUGGUCUGAGAGGAUGAUCAGUCACACUGGAAAUGAGACACGGUCCAGACUCCUACGGGAGGCAGCAGUAGGGAAUAUUGCACAAUGGAGGAAACUCUGAUGCAGCGACGCCGCGUGAGUGAUGAAGGCCUUCGGGUCGUAAAGCUCUGUCGCAGGGGAAUAACACAAUGAAGGUACCCUGUAAGAAAGGAUCGGCUAACUUCGUGCCAGCCGCCGCAGUAACAC